GGAAGCAGCAAGGAGCUUUGCAGAGAGCUUAGGUGAAAAGUGAAGAAUGCAGACAGCUGAGCAUGAAGGUUGGUGAGCAGGGCAUCAGCAGGACGGAAGACAAGUGCCUGACCUCUUGCCUAGGCGAUGGAGUACUUAAGUGAGCUUACUUGGACAUUGCAGAAGUGAAAAGGAAUGAGAAAGAAAUAAAGCGCUGCAAAUUUUAUAUCCUGAAGUUUUUAACAGCUAAUGAGCCUGACUCUCCCACGAAGAAUGGACCACUGUGAUCAAACAUGGGCAAAGGGAUGGAAGCGACUGAAGAAAGUGACUCAUCGAUGUUGGCAGCGAUCCUUUUAAUUACUGUGUUCUGGUUCUUCCAGUCAUACCGGACUUAGUCCUAUGCCAUCGGAUGGUCAGUGCUGUUCUUUCUGAAGGAAAUUCCAGAACCUUUUAAUCUUCCAAGUCCUAAGUUGCUUCCACUGUGCAACAGAAUCAGAUACAUGCUACUACUGUGUGGAAUUUUUUACCAACUAGUGAGGCAAUGGUUCUAGUUGUUCUUCUGUUUUUUCUGUGAGAAAAACAAGACAAUUAUCUGAGUUUCAGAAAACUAAAACAAAAUAAGCAUCAUCGAAAUGUCCAGCACAUUAAGUCCGUAGAAGUAGUCAACUAAGACUCUGAAGACAUUAUUAGCACUGUGUCUGAAGACUAAAUGUGAACAUACCCAGUCUUACCAGGAAACGAGUUCCUACUAUCUUUGAAAGCAAAUGGCUUUCCGUGAAGAUCUGGAACACAAAAAGAAAUCAGACAGCGAAGCCUACCCUAAUACAAGCCCAGGCUUGUAGCUCCCCAUACAACAGUGAUGACCAGACACUGAAACCCUUCACUCCUGUGAAUACAUUCUUUGAAACAGUUUUGUAUCCUUAAACAGCUGUCAGAGGCGGUGCUCAUGCUGAAUUUGGAAAAGAUGCCAAACGUAAGGCUGCACUGCAAUAACGACCUCUCAGCGCAUUGCACCCUCUGCCACCUACCUUCUGACUUUCUGGGUACCCUAACUUCGGACUCACUCCAUAAUCGCUCCUCUGUCCUGUGGAUCUCAGGUCAUUUCAUUCACUCUUCCACUUGCUAUCCUG